GGCUAUUAGGAAAUAUUUAUAGUCUAGCCUGCUCACUGAUAUUAGUAUUAAAUAGCCGCGGUAUCUUGACCGUGCAAAGGUAGCAUAAUCACUAGUUUUUUAAUUGAAAACUCGUAUGAAUGGUUGGACAAAGAAGAGACUGUCUCUUUUAUUAAGAUUGAAUUUGACUUUUAAGUGAAAAGGCUUAAAUUUUUCAAGGGGACGAUAAGACCCUAUAAAGCUUUAUAAAUUUAGAGAUCUUAUAUAUUUUUAUAUAGCUGUAAUUUCUUAAAUGUUUAUUUGGUUGGGGCGACAAUAGUAUAAUAGAAGUAACUGCUUUUAGGUAGUACAAGCUUAUUUGAGUAACACCGUUAAUUGAUCCUUUAUAAAGAUUUAAAGACCAAGUUACUUUAGGGAUAACAGCGUUAUUCUUUCUGAGAGUCCUUAUCAAAGGAAGAGUUUGCGACCUCGAUGUUGAAUUAAAAUGUCUUUAUGGUGCAGCAGCCAUAAGAGAAGGUCUGUUCGACCUUAA
rnacentral:rRNA from 1 species